UGCCCGCUCGUCUAAUGGCAGGACAACAGUCUCUGGAUCUGUUAAUUGGAGUUCGAAUCUCUGGCGGGCAGCCA
rnacentral:tRNA from 1 species